GUGCACCAGGCGAGAAACCUCCGCAAUACACGAAAGUGUGACGGGGCCAUCCCGAGUGCCGUCCGCUGAGGACGGCUUUUCCCCAGUGUACACAGCUGGGGGAAUAAGGAGAGGGCAAGCCUGGUGUCAGCCGCCGCGGUAAUACCAGCUCUCCGAGUGGUGGGGACGCUUAUUGGGCCUAAAGCAUCCGUAGCCGGCUGGGCAAGUCCUCCGUUAAAAUCCAACGAUUCAAUCGUUGGGCUGCGGGGGAUACUGUCCAGCUUGGGGGCGGGAGAGGCCGACGGUAUUCCCGGGGUAGGGGUGAAAUCCUAUAAUCCCGGGAGGACCACCAGUGGCGAAGGCUGUCGGCUAGAACGCGCCCGACGGUGAGGGAUGAAAGCUGGGGGAGCGAACCGGAUUAGAUA
rnacentral:rRNA from 1 species